rnacentral:rRNA from 1 species
AGUGAACGCUGGCGGUAGGCCUAACACAUGCAAGUCGAACGGCAGCACAGUAAGAGCCUGCUCUUACGGGUGGCGAGUGGCGGACGGGUGAGGAAUACAUCGGAAUCUACUUUUUCGUGGGGGAUAACGUAGGGAAACUUACGCUAAUACCGCAUACGACCUACGGGUGAAAGCAGGGGAUCUUCGGACCUUGCGCGAUUGAAUGAGCCGAUGUCGGAUUAGCUAGUUGGCGGGGUAAAGGCCCACCAAGGCGACGAUCCGUAGCUGGUCUGAGAGGAUGAUCAGCCACACUGGAACCGAGACACGGUCCAGACUCCUACGGGAGGCAGCAGUGGGGAAUAUUGGACAAUGGGCGCAAGCCUGAUCCAGCCAUACCGCGUGGGUGAAGAAGGCCUUCGGGUUGUAAAGCCCUUUUGUUGGGAAAGAAAAGCAGCAGGUUAAUACCCCGCUGUUCUGACGGUACCCAAAGAAUAAGCACCGGCUAACUUCGUG